rnacentral:rRNA from 1 species
GAUGGGAGCUUGCUCCCUGAUGUUAGCGGCGGACGGGUGAGUAACACGUGGGUAACCUGCCUGUAAGACUGGGAUAACUCCGGGAAACCGGGGCUAAUACCGGAUGGUUGUUUGAACCGCAUGGUUCAAACAUAAAAGGUGGCUUCGGCUACCACUUACAGAUGGACCCGCGGCGCAUUAGCUAGUUGGUGAGGUAACGGCUCACCAAGGCAACGAUGCGUAGCCGACCUGAGAGGGUGAUCGGCCACACUGGGACUGAGACACGGCCCAGACUCCUACGGGAGGCAGCAGUAGGGAAUCUUCCGCAAUGGACGAAAGUCUGACGGAGCAACGCCGCGUGAGUGAUGAAGGUUUUCGGAUCGUAAAGCUCUGUUGUUAGGGAAGAACAAGUACCGUUCGAAUAGGGCGGUACCUUGACGGUACCUAACCAGAAAGCCACGGCUAACUACGUGCCAGCAGCCGCGGUAAUACGUAGGUGGCAAGCGUUGUCCGGAAUUAUUGGGCGUAAAGGGCUCGCAGGCGGUUUCUUAAGUCUGAUGUGAAAGCCCCCGGCUCAACCGGGGAGGGUCAUUGGAAACUGGGGAACUUGAGUGCAGAAGAGGAGAGUGGAAUUCCACGUGUAGCGGUGAAAUGCGUAGAGAUGUGGAGGAACACCAGUGGCGAAAGCGACUCUCUGGUCUGUAACUGACGCUGAGGAGCGAAGCGUGGGGAGCGAACAGGAUUAGAUACCCUGGUAGUCCACGCCGUAAACGAUGAGUGCUAAGUGUUAGGGGGUUUCCGCCCCUUAGUGCUGCAGCUAACGCAUUAAGCACUCCGCCUGGGGAGUACGGUCGCAAGACUGAAACUCAAAGGAAUUGACGGGGGCCCGCACAAGCGGUUGGAGCAUGUGGUUUAAUUCGAAGCAACGCGAAGAACCUUAAGCAACGCGAAGAACCUUACCAGGUCUUGACAUCCUCUGACAAUCCUAGAGAUAGGACGUCCCCUUCGGGGGCAGAGUGACAGGUGGUGCAUGGUUGUCGUCAGCUCGUGUCGUGAGAUGUUGGGUUAAGUCCCGCAACGAGCGCAACCCUUGAUCUUAGUUGCCAGCAUUCAGUUGGGCACUCUAAGGUGACUGCCGGUGACAAACCGGAGGAAGGUGGGGAUGACGUCAAAUCAUCAUGCCCCUUAUGACCUGGGCUACACACGUGCUACAAUGGACAGAACAAAGGGCAGCGAAACCGCGAGGUUAAGCCAAUCCCACAAAUCUGUUCUCAGUUCGGAUCGCAGUCUGCAACUCGACUGCGUGAAGCUGGAAUCGCUAGUAAUCGCGGAUCAGCAUGCCGCGGUGAAUACGUUCCCGGGCCUUGUACACACCGCCCGUCACACCACGAGAGUUUGUAACACCCGAAGUCGGUGAGGUAACCUUUA